AGAAAAGCUAUGACGGAGAGAAAAUGUUCAUUGAUUAUCUUCAGAGAGUCAGCGGAUGGUGUGAGCUGAUGUUAAUCGGAAUAUAUAUAUCCACUCCCGAGCUUCCUGCGGAAAGGUUUUGCCGAGUAAGUAAGGACGCAUGCCAGCGAUAUAUGGUUACGGAUUAGCAGUUUUUAUGCUGAUCUUAAUGAGAGGAAGCUUUAUUGCUUCAAAUAGGGUGGAACCGCGGAAGUUAAACUUUCGUCCUUAUA
rnacentral:ncRNA from 1 species